rnacentral:misc_RNA from 1 species
GAUGAAGAACGUAGCGAAAUGCGAUACUUGGUGUGAAUUGCAGAAUCACGUGAACCAUCGAGUCUUUGAACGCAAGUUGCGCCCGAAGCCAUUAGGCCGAGGGCACGCCUGCCUGGGCGUCACACGUCGUUGCCCCCCCAUCUACUCCUUCGGGAUUGCGGGGGGCGGAUGAUGGCCUCUCGUGCGCCUCGUCGCGCGGUUGGCCUAAAUGCCAAGUCCUCGGCGACGCACGCCACGACAAUCGGUGGUUGCGAAACCUCGGUUGCCUGUCGUGUGCGGUCGUCGCGCAUCGAGGGCUCGAAAAAAUUGCCGGGCUUCGGCUCGACUUUCAACGCGACCCCAGGUCAGGCGGGGUUACCCGCUGAAUUUAAGCAUAUCAAUAAGCGGAGGA